CAGCAGCCGCGGUAAUACGUAGGUGGCAAGCGUUGUCCGGAAUCAUUGGGCGUAAAGCGCGCGCAGGCGGUCCUUUAAGUCUGAUGUGAAAUCUUGCGGCUCAACCGUAAGCGGUCAUUGGAAACUGGGGGACUUGAGUGCAGGAGAGGAAAGCGGAAUUCCAUGUGUAGCGGUGAAAUGCGUAGAGAUAUGGAGGAACACCAGUGGCGAAGGCGGCUUUCUGGCCUGUAACUGACGCUGAGGCGCGAAAGCGUGGGGAGCAAACAGGAUUAGAUACCCUGGUAGUCCACGCCGUAAACGAUGAGUGCUAAGUGUUGGAGGGUUUCCGCCCUUCAGUGCUGCAGCUAACGCAUUAAGCACUCCGCCUGGGGAGUACGGUCGCAAGGUUGAAACUUAAAGGAAUUGGCGGG
rnacentral:rRNA from 1 species